rnacentral:rRNA from 1 species
GACGGAGGAUGCAAGCGUUAUCCGGAAUGAUUGGGCGUAAAGCGCGCGCAGGCGGUUUUUCAAGUCAGUGGUGAAAGCCCGGAGCUCAACUCCGGAAAUGCCAUUGAAACUGUUAAACUUGAGGAUGAGAGAGGUGAGUGGAAUUCCCAGUGUAGAGGUGAAAUUCGUAGAUAUUGGGAAGAACACCGGUGGCGAAGGCGGCUCACUGGCUCAUUACUGACGCUCAGGCGCGACAGCGUGGGGAUCAAACAGG